CAACCUUGAGAUACCACCCUUGAUGUAUUGUGUUUCUAACACCGCGCCGUGAAUCCGGGCGGUGGACAUUGCCAGGCGGGUAGUUUGACUGGGGCGGUCGCCUCCCAAAAUGUAACGGAGGCGCACAAAGGUUCCCUCAGCACGGUUGGAAAUCGUGCGUAGAGUGUAAAGGCAACAAGGGAGCUUGACUGCGAGACUGACAAGUCGAGCAGGAGCGAAAGCUGGUCUUAGUGAUCCGGCGGUAACAAGUGGAAGUGCCGUCGCUCAACGGACAAAAGGUACGCCGGGGAUAACAGGCUUAUCGGGCCCAAGAGUCCACAUCGACGGCCCGGUUUGGCACCUCGAUGUCGGCUCGUCGCAUCCUGGGGCUGUAGUAGGUCCCAAGGGUUGGGCUGUUCGCCCAUUAAAGCGGUACGCGAGCUGGGUUCAGAACGUCGUGAGACAGUUCGGUCCCUAUCUUCCGUGGGCGUAGGAGACUUGAGAGGAGCGACUCCUAGUACGAGAGGACCGGAGUGGACGUACCUCUGGUGUACCGGUUGUCCUGCCAAGGGCACUGCCGGGUAGCUAUGUACGGAAGGGAUAACCGCUGAAAGCAUCUAAGCGGGAAGCUCGCCUCAAGACGAGGUCUCCCAUCCCAUUAAGGGAGUAAGACUCCUGGUAGACGACCAGGUUGAUAGGCCACAGGUGUACGCACGGCGACGUGUUUAGCCGAGUGGUACUAAUAAGUCGAGGGCUUGAUGGU
rnacentral:rRNA from 1 species